rnacentral:lncRNA from 1 species
GCCUGCUCUAUUUCCCGACAUGCAACCUUGCCUCUUAUUUGGCGCUGCAGGCUCUUCAGAAACCAUUUGCAGGCUGCAGAUGGAGAUAACUGAAAUGGCUUGGACUAAGGAAUCGGAAACCAAGAGGAAACAGAAAGACCAAUUGUCCUGGGACGACAGCAUGAGGCUGGUUUUUCAUAGACACAGACUAAUUCUGCUUGAAUUAAAGUCAUGCCUUGUUUCAAACAUAUUCCACCUCGGGCUGCCUGCUUGAGGAUUCACUGCUAAGUGAGACCGUAACUACUUUCUUUUUGAAAGGAUUAGGCCACAGGCUGAAGCUUCCAAUACUGGUUUUGAAAUCCACAGUCAUUUAGAAGAUGGCUUCUCACAUCUGUUCUGCUUCCCUGCUCCACUCGAAGCUCCGAAUCUCCCUCCUCAUCCUAAAGAGAUUGCAACAGUCAUGAACUAAACCAUUUUAGUUCUCUUCGCUAGAAUUAAAUUGAGCUUCCUGUGCUGUUUGGAUUUUAUAAUUUUUAAACAGAAAGACAAACCACACAAUAAAAACAGGUUGGUUCCUGCCCUUUAUACUGCCUUAUACUACUGCAGGGCCUUGGGCCAUUUAUUUUAUUUUAUUUUAUUUUUUGGCUUCAGUUUCCUUUUCUAGAAAAUAACACUCCCUAUUGAUAUCAGUUUAUAAGCAACACAGGUAUACAUUUUUAAAACUAUGUUCAUUGACUCAGUUCCUGAAAGAUGUCUUUAUGAGUUUUUCCUACAGAAAUUGGAAGCCAUUUUUAUUUCCUUAUGCGCCAUUGCACCCAGGCAUCACCAGAAGUCUAUCUAGCAUCCCAUAAUUUAGAAAGUGCUGAUCUUGCGCACCUCAGCUGACUAAGUAUCAGGCUUCAGGCCUAAUUGCUGUUUAGUCUCUGCCUAAGUCACUUACUUCAACUCCCCUUCUUCCUUGCUUUUCCAACUCAUUCAACAAUUGUUUAUCAAUCAACUAUAAAUUAUGACAGACCCUGGGUAAGUAGUAGAAAAUAACUGUGCACAUGCCCAGUCAUUGCCUUUAAAGAUCCUGCAUUUAAAAGGGUAAGACAAGCAGGGAAACUUCCCACCAAAGUCAGCCUCAGCUUGACCCUGGUUCAUCAGGCAACCCUGAUUUAAAAGAGCAAACUCUUAGGUAGCUUUAGCCUUUUCCCCAACAAGGCUCACCCCCAGCACCAGUCCAGGCCAUUUUGGCUCAGAUCACUAUCCCAGACUAUCAGGCCCAGAAUGCAAAGUUAGUGAUUUCCCAAGACUCCUCCUCUGACAGCUGGAAUGACAUAACUCUCAAUGACAACUGCUACU